rnacentral:rRNA from 1 species
CCUACGGGUGGCAGCAGUGAGGAAUAUUGGUCAAUGGACGCAAGUCUGAACCAGCCAUGCCGCGUGCAGGAAGACGGCUCUAUGAGUUGUAAACUGCUUUUGUACGAGGGUAAACGCAGAUACGCGUAUCUGUCUGAAAGUAUCGUACGAAUAAGGAUCGGCUAACUCCGUGCCAGCAGCCGCGGUACUACGGAGGAUUCAAGCGUUAUCCGGAGUUACUGGGGUUAAAGGGUGCGUAGGGGGUCGGAUAAGUUAGAGGGGAAAUCCCGAGGCUCAACUUCGGAAUUGCCUCUGAUACUGGUCGGCUAGAGAGUAGUUGAGGUAAGCGGAAUGUAUGGUGUAGCGGUGAAAUGCUUAGAGAUCAGACAGAACACCGAUUGCGAAGGCAGCUUACCAGGCUACUUCUGACGUUGAGGCACGAAAGCGUGGGGAGCAAACAGGAUUAGAUACCCUUGUAGUC